rnacentral:rRNA from 1 species
UACGUAGGCAGCGAGCGUUGUUCGGAAUUACUGGGCGUAAAGAGUGUGUAGGCGGUGCUCUAAGUCUGUUGUGAAAUCUCCCGGCUCAACUGGGAGGGUGCGGCGGAAACUGGAGUGCUCGAGUGUGGGAGAGGUAAGCGGAAUUCCUGGUGUAGCGGUGAAAUGCGUAGAUAUCAGGAGGAACACCUGUGGUGUAGACAGCUUACUGGACCACGACUGACGCUGAGACACGAAAGCGUGGGUAGCAAACGGG